UAACUGACUGAGACCACCAACAGGGGUC
rnacentral:piRNA from 1 species